UGGGGAAUUGUUCGCAAUGGGCGCAAGCCUGACGACGCAACGCCGCGUGGAGGAUGAAGAUUUUCGGAUCGUAAACUCCUGUCGAAUGGGACGAAUGGCUCGACCGUGAAUAACGGUUGGGAAUGACGGUACCGUGAGAGGAAGCCCCGGCUAACUCCGUGCCAGCAGCCGCGGUAAUACGGGGGGGGCAAGCGUUGUUCGGAAUUACUGGGCGUAAAGGGCUCGUAGGUGGCCACCUAAGUCCGACGUGAAAUCCCUCGGCUCAACCGGGGAACUGCGUCGGAUACUGGGUGGCUUGAAUCCGGGAGAGGGACGUGGAAUUCCAGGUGUAGCGGUGAAAUGCGUAGAUAUCUGGAGGAACACCGGUGGCGAAGGCGGCGUCCUGGACCGGUAUUGACACUGAGGAGCGAAAGCCAGGGGAGCAAACGGG
rnacentral:rRNA from 1 species